AACGAACGCUGGCGGCAGGCCUAACACAUGCAAGUCGAGCGCUUUCCUUCGGGAAGGAGCGGCGGACGGGUUAGUAACGCGUGGGAACAUACCCUUUUCUAAGGAAUAGCCUCGGGAAACUGAGAGUAAUACCUUAUACGCCCUUUGGGGGAAAGAUUUAUCGGAGAAGGAUUGGCCCGCGUUAGAUUAGAUAGUUGGUGGGGUAAUGGCCUACCGAGUCUACGAUCUAUAGCUGGUUUUAGAGGAUGAUCAGCAACACUGGGACUGAGACACGGCCCAGACUCCUACGGGAGGCAGCAGUGGGGAAUCUUGGACAAUGGGCGCAAGCCUGAUCCAGCCAUGCCGCGUGAGUGAUGAAGGCCUUAGGGUCGUAAAGCUCUUUCGCCAGGGAUGAUAAUGACAGUACCUGGUAAAGAAAACCCCGGACCGUAACUACCGUGCCAGCAGCCGCGGUAA
rnacentral:rRNA from 1 species